AUAUGGACCUAUGACCUAUCUAGUGUGAUAAUCAUAUAAAGUAUAUUAACAAAAAGGAUAACAAUGGGGUUAUAGUUUUUUCAAGGUAAAAUAGGUCUUCUACUCAAAGCAUAACAAGGUGAUGAAUUAAUGAUUUCCUGUCCAAGCUCAUUUAUCUUGUUGAGCAAAAGUGUUUGUUCAGUCUCGAGCUGUACCAUAAACUCUUCUUGUGUGUCAUGUAGGCUUUCCAUUUCGUGCAACGAUGCUGAAAGUCCUUCCAGAUCAUCGUCUUCAAUUAAAGACUGGAACUUGAUCAUCAUUUGCUUCAUCUGGUUAGAAACUUGGCGUCGUGCUUUGGUUACUGAAGACUCAGAAUCUAAGCUUGAUUUCUUUUCUAGAUCCGGGACUUUACGUGUGACUUGAAU
rnacentral:misc_RNA from 1 species